AAAAAAAAGAAAAGAAUGUCUCUCUCCCUCCACGGCACAGACCUUGCUCAACCUGUUCGAGAAUGUUUCCUUCAAGUCAUCUUUGGAAAUCAGAUUUUUGCCCGUAUUUGCUUUAAACCUGUCUUUAUGGUUGCAUGGUUUUACGACUGUUGCCUGGCUCUAGAAUUUAUGUCUGUGUUUUUGAGAUUGGUGGCUACGCAAGAAAUAUUUUUUUGAAAUAUUGGUGCUUAGCAAAAAUUCAGGUCAUGUCACAAGAUUUUGUCACAGGAUGUUGUCUGCCUUGGCUUGUCUGUGCACUGCUUCUUUCCCCUGUGACUUCAGGAGGCACUUACACUCAGAUCCCCGAAAACAUUACCUCCCUCACGGGAAAAACUGUCACCUUUCACUGUGCUACCCGCUUGCCCAGUGCUCUCAGCUUUUCAAUUCAAGGAAGUCAGAACAACAACACCUUGUCAUGUAACUCUUCACAACCCUUUAAGCCAAUUUCCGUACCUAGCAGGGCUCUUCAGGGUAACUGUGAGAACAGGAAUGGAGAACUAGUUGCCCAGUGGACCAUCAUUUCUACGUCCCUGUCUGAUAAUGCCACCAUUUUCAGGUGUCAGAGUUCAGGUUUACCUGACGCUAUAGGAACUCUCACCGUCUACAUGAACAGUGGCUACUUUGCCACUCUCAUUGGCUGUGUUAUUGGCGGGUUUUUUGGGAUCCUCAUCGUCUUUGUUGGAGUGUAUAUUGCCCUUCAGCGAUCAGAAAAACUCCAGAUAUGUUUCAGAGGCAAGUCUGAAGAUGAUGCGAUCACCAUAGUGGAGGAGUCAAAGAGCUACUGACAUAUACACCACCCAAACUGUUAUUUCCUGUGCCUGGUACAACACUGUUGACAUUGAACUGUCAAAGUCAAACUAGAGAUUGUUUUACGUAAAAAAUGGGGUUAUCCAAAGCAUUCAUGCAGAUGUUACCUAAUCUGCUAGAAUCUGCUGAUGUUUAGGAUUUUAUACACACAAAUUGGCAUAAAAAUGAUGGAGUGUAAUAUGAAAAUUCAGUUUAAGCGCUUUUAUUUAAGAGGUAAAGUCACACACUGUGGCAAUUUACAUUUUUUACGAGAAUAAGCAAGUCAUAAAAACAUUUACUAUCUCUAGAUGAAUAUAAUUGUCUGUAAAAUGUCAUUUAAGCAGCCUGCAUCACAUCUUCACCACCUACAUCUUUACUUCAUGACAUAUGGACAUAUGGUUCUUUGUUUAAAAGUUGUCCCUCAUAGUCAUAUGCUAGUUGUCCCUCAUAUGCUAAUUUUAACACUCAGUCAAACAUACAUGAAAGCAUGCAUGAAAGGACUAAUACCUCUCUGUGUUUGUUCCAUGUUAAAUUAUUUAAAUUGUCAUAACUACAGGUUACUAUAGUUGAACAGAUAGUUGACAGAUCUACGUAGACAUUAGAAAAACUGGGCAAUAUUGACAGCGGCAGUUUCCUCUUCAAAUUUACAGCUUAAAUAUUUAGACUUCCAGAUUUUAACAUAUAAAUACAACAAAUAAGUCAUCAAUGUAACACAUGCAUACAUUAUUGUUGAUAUGUCUUUAUUUAUAUGGAUAUGUCUCUAUGGCACAACCAAGGGCAAACUUUUUGGAUCUGGAUUGUUUGGGGACAAACAAACAAUGACUUUUCCUGCAUCUCUAAAUCUGUAUGUGCAGCCCCCUCCCACCUGAUCCUCUGAAAUCGAUCGCAGAUCAUUUCUUUUUUAUUUUGAAUAUUCACAUUUCAUAUAUAUUUUAAGUAAAAUGUAAAUGGAUUACAAAACAAUAAACAAAGAAAUCCACACA
rnacentral:lncRNA from 1 species